UGGGGAAUAUUGGACAAUGGGGGCAACCCUGAUCCAGCGACGCCGCGUGGGUGAAGAAGGCCUGCGGGUUGUAAAGCCCUUUCGGUGGGGAUAAAAAGCCUUGGUUUAACACACCAGGGUCUUGAUCUAACCCAAGAACGAAGCACCGGCUAACUCUGUGCCAGCAGCCGCGGUAAGACAGAGGGGGCAAGCGUUGUCCGGAAUUACUGGGCGUACAGGGCACGCAGGUGGCUGCAUAGGUGGCGUGUGAAAGCCCCGCGCUUAACGCGGGGAGGCCACGCCAAACGGUGCGGCUCGAGCGAUGCAGAGGGUGGUGGAAUUGCCGGUGUAGUGGUGAAAUGCGUAGAGAUCGGCAGGAACACCAAGGACGAAGGUAACCACCUGGGCAUCAGCUGACACUCAUGUGCGACAGCGUGGGGAGCGAA
rnacentral:rRNA from 1 species